rnacentral:rRNA from 1 species
UACGUAGGCAGCGAGCGUUGUUCGGAGUUACUGGGCGUAAAGCGUGCGUAGGCGGCGGUCCAUGUCUGGUGUGAAAUCUCCCGGCUUAACUGGGAGGGUGCGCCGGAAACGGGGCUGCUGGAGUGCGGGAGAGGUAAGCGGAAUUCCCGGUGUAGCGGUGAAAUGCGUAGAUAUCGGAAGGAACAUCAGUGGCGAAAGCGACUUCCUGGACCAAUACUGACGCUCAUGUGCGAAAGCGUGGGGAGCAAACAGG